CUACGGGGCGGCUGCAGGCGAGAAAACUUUGCAAUGUGCGAAAGCACGACAAGGUUAAUCCGAGUGGUUUGUGCUAAACGAACCUUUUGACAGUCCUAGAAACACUGUUGAAUAAGGGGUGGGCAAGUUCUGGUGUCAGCCGCCGCGGUAAAACCAGCACCUCAAGUGGUCAGGAUGAUUAUUGGGCCUAAAGCAUCCGUAGCCGGCUCUGUAAGUUUUCGGUUAAAUCUGUACGCUCAACGUACAGGCUGCCGGGAAUACUGCAGAGCUAGGGAGUGGGAGAGGUAGACGGUACUCGGUAGGAAGGGGUAAAAUCCUUUGAUCUAUUGAUGACCACCUGUGGCGAAGGCGGUCUACCAGAACACGUCCGACGGUGAGGGAUGAAAGCUGGGGGAGCAAACCGGAUUAGAUACCCCUGUAGUC
rnacentral:rRNA from 1 species